ACACAUGCAAGUCGAACGGUGAUCCUUGGAGCUUGCUUCUUGGUGAUCAGUGGCGAACGGGUGAGUAACACGUGAGUAACCUGCCCCUGACUCUGGAAUAACCCCGGGAAACCGGGGCUAAUACCGGAUAUGACAUCAUCCCGCAUGGGUGUGGUGUGGAAAGUUUUUCGGUUGGGGAUGGGCUCGCGGCCUAUCAGCUUGUUGGUGAGGUAGUGGCUCACCAAGGCGACGACGGGUAGCCGGCCUGAGAGGGCGACCGGCCACACUGGGACUGAGACACGGCCCAGACUCCUACGGGAGGCAGCAGUGGGGAAUAUUGCACAAUGGGCGAAAGCCUGAUGCAGCGACGCCGCGUGAGGGAUGACGGCCUUCGGGUUGUAAACCUCUUUCAGCUCUGAAGAAGCGAAAGUGACGGUAGGAGCAGAAGAAGCACCGGCUAACUACGUGCCAGCAGCCGCGGUAAUACGUAGGGUGCGAGCGUUGUCCGGAAUUAUUGGGCGUAAAGAGCUUGUAGGCGGUUUGUCGCGUCUGCUGUGAAAAUCCGGGGCUCAACUCCGGACUUGCAGUGGGUACGGGCAGACUAGAGUGUGGUAGGGGAGACUGGAAUUCCUGGUGUAGCGGUGAAAUGCGCAGAUAUCAGGAGGAACACCGAUGGCGAAGGCAGGUCUCUGGGCCACUACUGACGCUGAGAAGCGAAAGCGUGGGGAGCGAACAGGAUUAGAUACCCUGGUAGUCCACGCCGUAAAACGUUGGGAACUAGGUGUGGGCCUCAUUCCACGAGGUCUGUGCCCGCAGCUAACGCAWUAAGUUCCCCGCCUGGGGAGUACGGCCGCAAGGCUAAAACUCAAAGGAAUUGACGGGGGCCCGCACAAGCGGCGGAGCAUGUGGAUUAAUUCGAUGCAACGCGAAGAACCUUACCAAGGCUUGACAUACACCGGUAACGCUCAGAGAUGGGUGCCCCGUAAGGUCGGUGUACAGGUGGUGCAUGGUUGUCGUCAGCUCGUGUCGUGAGAUGUUGGGUUAAGUCCCGCAACGAGCGCAACCCUCGUUCCAUGUUGCCAGCAGCACCUUUGGGUGGCUGGGGACUCAUGGGAGACUGCCGGGGUCAACUCGGAGGAAGGUGGGGAUGACGUCAAAUCAUCAUGCCCCUUAUGUCUUGGGCUUCACACAUGCUACAAUGGCCGGUACAAAGGGCUGCGAAACCGUGAGGUGGAGCGAAUCCCAAAAAACCGGUCUCAGUUCGGAUUGGGGUCUGCAACUCGACCCCAUGAAGUCGGAGUCGCUAGUAAUCGCAGAUCAGCAACGCUGCGGUGAAUACGUUCCCGGGCCUUGUACACACCGCCCGUCAAGUCACGAAAGUCGGUAACACCCGAAGCCGGUGGCCCAACCCCUUGUGGGAGGGAGCCGUCGAAGGUGGGACUGGCGAUUGGGACUAAGUCGUAAC
rnacentral:rRNA from 1 species